rnacentral:rRNA from 1 species
AUGGGCUUGCCAGCGAUGUUGAGGUCCUUGCCAUGGCUCCGAGCCUGGAGAGUAGCGCUGUCCCAGAUUGAGGUGGAGCUCCGGAGGGAGAUGACGCUGUUCAAGACGCUGGCCAUCACUUUCUCCAGGAUGAUGAUCUUCACUGGGAUCACGUCUUUGUACGGUAGCAUCCUCCAGUUAGGAAGGCCUGCCGGCCAGCCUCGUGUGGGGCUGGGUCAUCAUCUCCUUCUUCACCUGGUUAAUGGGUGUCGUCAUGUUGGGGAUUUCUCCUUGCCUUUGUCUGAACCUCUAACUACUGAAGCUGAAAAUGAAGUUCACGAUUGUUUGUAUGGUAACGGUUCAGGUAGCAAAAGUCCUGGUGCUACAUGA